rnacentral:rRNA from 1 species
AUACGGAGGAUGCGAGCGUUAUCCGGAUUUAUUGGGUUUAAAGGGAGCGCAGACGGGUCGUUAAGUCAGCUGUGAAAGUUUGGGGCUCAACCUUAAAAUUGCAGUUGAUACUGGCGUCCUUGAGUGCGGUUGAGGUGUGCGGAAUUCGUGGUGUAGCGGUGAAAUGCUUAGAUAUCACGAAGAACUCCGAUUGCGAAGGCAGCACACUAAGCCGUAACUGACGUUCAUGCUCGAAAGUGUGGGUAUCAAACAGGAUUAGAUACCCUGGUAGUCCACACGGUAAACGAUGGAUACUCGCUGUUGGCGAUAUACGGUCAGCGGCUUAGCGAAAGCGUUAAGUAUCCCACCUGGGGAGUACGCCGGCAACGGUGAAACUCAAAGGAAUUGACGGGGGCCCGCACAAGCGGAGGAACAUGUGGUUUAAUUCGAUGAUACGCGAGGAACCUUACCCGGGCUUAAAUUGCAAAGGAAUAAUCUGGAAACAGGUUAGUCUUCGGACCUUUGUGAAGGUGCUGCAUGGUUGUCGUCAGCUCGUGCCGUGAGGUGUCGGCUUAAGUGCCAUAACGAGCGCAACCCUCGCCGCCAGUUACUAACAGUUAAAGCUGAGGACUCUGGCGGGACUGCCAUCGUAAGAUGUGAGGAAGGUGGGGAUGACGUCAAAUCAGCACGGCCCUUACGUCCGGGGCUACACACGUGUUACAAUGGGCGGUACAGAAGGCAGCUACCUGGCGACAGGAUGCCAAUCCCUAAAGCCGCUCUCAGUUCGGACUGGAGUCUGCAACCCGACUCCACGAAGCUGGAUUCGCUAGUAAUCGCGCAUCAGCCACGGCGCGGUGAAUACGUUCCCGGGCCUUGUACACACCGCCCGUCAAGCCAUGAAAGCCGGGGGUACCUGAAGUACGUAACCGCAAGGAGCGUCCUAGGGUAAAACUGGUAAUUGGGGCU